rnacentral:rRNA from 1 species
AUUGAACGCUGGCGGCAGGCCUAACACAUGCAAGUCGAACGAGUGGCGGACGGGUGAGUAAUGUCUGGGAAACUGCCUGAUGGAGGGGGAUAACUACUGGAAACGGUAGCUAAUACCGCAUACCAUCAGAUGUGCCCAGAUGGGAUUAGCUAGUUGGUGGGGUCACGGCUCACCAAGGCGACGAUCCCGAGCUGGUCUGAGAGGAUGACCAGCCACACUGGAACGGAGACACGGUCCAGACUACGACGGGAGGCAGCAGUGGGGAAGAGUGCACAAUGGGCGCAAGCCUGAUGCAGCCAUGCCGCGUGUAUGAAGAAGGCCUGCGGGUGGGAAAGUACUUGCAGCGGGGAGGCGUUACCCGCAGAAGAAGCACCGGCUAACUCCGUGCCAGCAGCCGCGGUAAUUC